ACGCGUGUGGUCUAGGGGUAUGAACAUUCACUUCGCAUUUUCAGAAAUACGCUGUGAAAGGUCCUGGGUUCAAUUCCCAGCUCGUCCA